AGUGAACGCUGGCGGCAGGCCUAAUACAUGCAAGUCGAACGGCAGCACAGCAGAGCUUGCUCUGUGGGUGGCGAGUGGCGGGACGGGUGAGGAAUACGUGGGAAUCUGCCCAGUCGUGGGGGAUAACGUAGGGAAACUUACGCUAAUACCGCAUGCGCCCUUCGGGGAAAAGCCGGGGGACCUUCGGGCCUGGCGCGAUUGGAUGAGCCCACGUCGGAUUAGCUAGUUGGCGGGGUAAGGCCCACCAAGGCGACGAUCCGUAGCUGGUCUGAGAGGAUGAUCAGCCACACUGGAACUGAGACACGGUCCAGACUCCUACGGGAGGCAGCAGUAGGGAAUAUUGGACAAUGGGCGCAAGCCUGAUCCAGCCAUGCCGCGUGAGUG
rnacentral:rRNA from 1 species